rnacentral:rRNA from 1 species
GACGAGCGCUGGCGGCGUGCUUAACACAUGCAAGUCGAACGGAAAGGCCCUGCUUUUGUGGGGUGCUCGAGUGGCGAACGGGUGAGUAACACGUGAGUAACCUGCCCUUGACUUUGGGAUAACUUCAGGAAACUGGGGCUAAUACCGGAUAGGAGCUCCUGCUGCAUGGUGGGGGUUGGAAAGUUUCGGCGGUUGGGGAUGGACUCGCGGCUUAUCAGCUUGUUGGUGGGGUAGUGGCUUACCAAGGCUUUGACGGGUAGCCGGCCUGAGAGGGUGACCGGCCACAUUGGGACUGAGAUACGGCCCAGACUCCUACGGGAGGCAGCAGUGGGGAAUAUUGCACAAUGGGCGGAAGCCUGAUGCAGCAACGCCGCGUGCGGGAUGACGGCCUUCGGGUUGUAAACCGCUUUCGCCUGUGACGAAGCGUGAGUGACGGGAAUGGGUAAAGAAGCACCGGCUAACUACGU